rnacentral:miRNA from 1 species
UGCAGAUUCCGUUGAUACUAAGUGG